rnacentral:misc_RNA from 1 species
UCUCCGUUGGUGAACCAGCGGAGGGAUCAUUAUCGAGUUGCAAAACUCCAACCCGUGCGAACAUACCUCAGCCGUUGCUUCGGCGGUUUUUGGGUUUGGCUCAAAAGCCGCCGGAGGUUCCAAACUCUUGUUUUAUUUAGUGUAUCUCUGAGCCUGAAAACAAUAAUCAAAACUUUCAACAACGGAUCUCUUGGUUCUG